AGAGUUUGAUCAUGGCUCAGAGCGAACGCUGGCGGCAGGCUUAACACAUGCAAGUCGAACGGGCUUCUUCGGAAGUCAGUGGCAGACGGGUGAGUAACACGUGGGAACGUGCCCUUCGGUUCGGAAUAACUCAGGGAAACUUGAGCUAAUACCGGAUACGCCCUUAUGGGGAAAGGUUUACUGCCGAAGGAUCGGCCCGCGUCUGAUUAGCUUGUUGGUGGGGUAACGGCCUACCAAGGCGACGAUCAGUAGCUGGUCUGAGAGGAUGAUCAGCCACACUGGGACUGAGACACGGCCCAGACUCCUACGGGAGGCAGCAGUGGGGAAUAUUGGACAAUGGGCGCAAGCCUGAUCCAGCCAUGCCGCGUGAGUGAUGAAGGCCUUAGGGUUGUAAAGCUCUUUUGUCCGGGACGAUAAUGACGGUACCGGAAGAAUAAGCCCCGGCUAACUUCGUGCCAGCAGCCGCGGUAAU
rnacentral:rRNA from 1 species